AGGAUAAACGCUGGCGGCGUGCCUAACACAUGCAAGUCGAACGUCUCUUCUUUCGGGAAGAGGAGUGGCGGACGGGUGAGGAACACGUGGGAACCUGCCCUUUAGUGAGGAAUACCGGCGAGAAAUCGCCGACAAGACCGCAUAGCCCUCUUUGAUGAGAGUCAAAGAAGGAAAGCUUCGCAAGAGGCGCUAGAGGAGGGGCCUGCGUCCGAUUAGCUAGUUGGUGGGGUAAGAGCCUACCAAGGCGUCGAUCGGUAGCUGGUCUGAGAGGACGAUCAGCCACACUGGGAUUGAGAACGGCCCAGACUCCUACGGGGGCAGCAGUGAGGAAUUUUCGGCAAUGGGGGAAACCCUGACCGAGCAACGCCGCGUGCAGGAAGACGGCCUUCGGGUUGUAAACUGCUUUUCUUUGGGACGAGAACGGACGGUACCAGAGGAAUCAGCCCGGCUCACUACGUGCCAGCAGCCGC
rnacentral:rRNA from 1 species